rnacentral:lncRNA from 1 species
CUUGGCUGAUUUCCUGGUCCUGCUACGAUUGGUUCUGGAUCUGACCGCACACCUCCCGUCUGUCGCCGCCGUUUGCUCGCUCGCCGCCAUCAGAAAGGUUUGUUCUUCCUUCCUUCUUUCUCCUUCCAGAUGUCCUGUUCUUCGUACCUCAUGCGUGUUUGUUGGUUUCGGCUGCACAGGGUGGUUGUGAGGGUUUGGUGCCAGGGUCGUUGCUGGGUCCGUGGCUGUUGUUCCUUUAGAUUUGGCCGUCCUUCCUCCUGCAUCUCCGACGAAGGUGCUCUUGUUCAUGGCCCACUCUGAGAGGUUGAUUGGUUAGUUUGCUGUACCUGCCAACUGUGAAAUCCAGGAGGAUUUGUGAUUCCUGUUGUCAUUUGGUUUGUCAUUAUUUGCCAUUUGCAUGUGUGGUCAGAUCCAAGUGUAUUUGAUUGGUCUGUAUACGAUAUGUAAGGUUGAUGAUUGUCCUAUACAUGUUUGGUUUAGUACUGUGAGCUGUGCAGAUAGUAAGUUUAGGACUGAACAUGUAGAGAUGGGGGUACUGCAUGAGUUUAGGACCGAACAUGUAGAGAUGGGGGUACUGUGUAAACAUUAAAUCCCAUUAGGCAAUUCAAAUCUUGGCGAAUACGACAACCCAGUUUUAGGAGCUAUUGUUCUCAGCUUCUUCCAAGUUGAAUUCAAUUAAAAAGUGGAUGUCAUGUGUCUCUAAUUACCACCAGAAAAUGUUUUCUUUGCAAUGCCAUUGUUGUAGGGUUCUGACUCUAACCGGUUCUCCCAAAAUUUGUUCUAAGCAUAUUAAAAGGUUUUCUUAUUACUAUAUCUUGAUCAUGGUUAUAUUCUUUAAUAGCCACCAUAGUACUGAUUGGUGACUGGUUUUUGGAACAUAUGUUGCCAAUCAAAAAAUUUGGAAUACAAUUGAUGUAUGAAGAUCUAUUUGCAGAUUGCCUUAACGCAGAAGGAGAGUCUCACUGCCACUGCUGGAGCACAUAAACCACCCUUUUGUCUCAGUUUCGAUUUGAAAACCACUCAUACUGUCCCAAAUAUGUCUCCGAAUAUGGAAGCUAUAUAUCACCAAGUACAAUUCCGAGUUUCCAGUGCAAGCAUAAAGACCUCAGUUUGUGUAUUCCAUCCUGUACAGAUAACUGGUCAGUACAUGCAGAAUCACCCCAACUCCCUUGUUCCAUACUCUCUAGAAAUUCAGUUUACAAUAUGUUGAUUUGCAUCUUGUUUCUGCUACCUGGCACUGUACGGUUUAUAUGUUGUGGACUCGGUCUUCUGUAGCGAUUGUAAAGAUUGUUGCUAGCUCCUUUGAUUUGUGUGCUGCUCAACGGUGCGAAGUACCAUAUAAUUUCAUUUCAAGUCAGACACAUUUUCUUCUACCAUCAAAAGAUUCAUGUAAAUAAGCUUUGAAAACCUGACUGCUAUUCAGUCGUUGCAAGUAAUAUUUUCGAUAUGACAGACACAAUUAGCAUUCAGCAAAACAAGCUUGGCAAGAUUUACGGCACUAAGCCCACCAAGUGUCACUGAAAUGCUUCUACAAAUGACACAUUAUACAGACUGCUAAGUUAGAAGUUGUUUGUUACAUAUAGAUGCAUGUUCCUUGAUGUCAACUGAGUGCUGGGUACUCUCCCGCAAAAAAGGCGCUACUGCAUAUAAUUGUGUUCUCAUUUCAGUUUCAUGUAAUAUUUUUUGGUUUGGGUACUGUCACUGUGAAAUUGCCAAUUCUAAACUUGUAUUUCUUCCUCUACUGUAGGAGAUUUAUACUGUCAUUUGAUUAGCCCCUGGUGUGGAAUCAGAAGGUCACACAUUUGUUUUUGAGUUGAAUGGCUGCCCAGCUGUGUACGUAUGCACCAGAACAGAGCAGGGGAAUGAAGGGGACACCCAGGGAGUUAUCAUGGUGAGUUAUAUGUGCUUUAACAACCCUUCUUGUUACUUGAUUCUUUGAUCAACUCUGAUGUUUAGUGUUCUGCAUUAGUCAUAUGAACCUCUCCUUAUAGUAUUCCGUCGAGGCCUUUCCGAGAGGUUGGAUAGGUUUAAGGGUUUAAAUUUUAACCCUGGUCUGUACACCAAUGAAUGCCAAUGUUUAUGCAUAUAUUUGAAUAGAUUACUGUCCAGUAGAUGAAUCGGUGAAGUGAGAGCAUGUAGUAAUGGUAGGGUAGGUAUGAUUUUAUUUCAAGUUUUGUGUGAAACAUCCUAGCAAUUACUUAUGUGGUUAUAUAAUGAUAUAUUUAGGAUGGGCCUUCAGGUGUUGAGACCAGAAAAAAUAGAAACUGAAAUUUUAUUUGUAUUAAUUCCCUUGUUUCCAUUUUUUGGAAUUUCUUGCUUUUUUAAUUGGUGUUAUGCUUUCAAGGUCCAUAAUCCUUGUGAUGUUUUCUUCUAUUGAUUUACAGGUCCUUGCGGUUGUCAUUCACAUGACUGUGCCAUUCACGUUUGUACAGGGUGAACUCUGUUAUGUUCGUCUAUUUACUCGGUGGUUACUAGAGAAUAUAUUGCAUGUGCCCUGUCUUGGUUGAUAGUGUAUCUUGCUCUUGCUUUCUUACGGUCGAGGAGAUGGAUAGAUAUAGAUUCUAGGCAUGUCCUUGGUCCUUGCAAAAGAGGUUUUUUUUUUGCUGCCUUCAUUGCUUUAUUUGGUACCUUGCUCUUUCCACUGUCGAUCAGGAGACAAAUUUGGCAUCAACCCCUGUCCUUGCUCUUUGCAGAGGAGGAUUUUGUUCUUUUCUUCGAUGGAUGUACAUUUUGCUCAUCUGCUGACCAUUAUGUCUUUCCAACCUGCAGUAUUUCUCGGUUCGCUAUACAGGGAUGGAACUUGCAGAACACAUUAAUUUACCGGUAGAUGGCGUGUGUGUUGAACUCGUGUGUGGAUGCGCAACGGGGCAAGUCUGUGUGAUGUAAGGUGUGGACAGAAGAGCGACAAUAACUACGGGGUUGGUCAAAGAUUGAAAGAAAUCUCUUAUGUGUCUUCGGCUUCGACACUGUGUCUUCGGCUUCGACACUACGCAUAGGAAGUCGUUGCUGAUAAUCCAAUCUUUGAAAAGGUUAGUUCAAGGUUCAUAACGCAGGUUCAUGUGGCGCAUGAAAUGUUGAAGUCAAGACGAUCAGGUGGAUCUAUCAAAAAAAUAUGCUUCUGUGGAACUACAUAGGUUCUUUGUUGCCGCUGUGGCUUGAUUUUGUUGUAUGAAAAGUACAUUGUCUGUAUCAAAUUUGAUGUGGAUUGACGAACGGUUCUACUGACAAAAUCCCUUAUGGUUACUUUGCAUUUGCUACAUGUGACUGCCUUGCCUUCUGCCAUGACUUUGACAAAUGA